GUAUAAUGGGUCAGCGACUUAUAUUCUGUAGCAAGGUUAACCGUAUAGGGGAGCCGCAGGGAAACCGAGUCUUAACUGGGCGUUAAGUUGCAGGGUAUAGACCCGAAACCCGGUGAUCUAGCCAUGGGCAGGUUGAAGGUUGGGUAACACUAACUGGAGGACCGAACCGACUAAUGUUGAAAAAUUAGCGGAUGACUUGUGGCUGGGGGUGAAAGGCCAAUCAAACCGGGAGAUAGCUGGUUCUCCCCGAAAGCUAUUUAGGUAGCGCCUCGUGAACUCAUCUUCGGGGGUAGAGCACUGUUUCGGCUAGGGGGUCAUCCCGACUUACCAACCCGAUGCAAACUACGAAUACCGAAGAAUGUUAUCACGGGAGACACACGGCGGGUGCUAACGUCCGUCGUGAAGAGGGAAACAACCCAGACCGCCAGCUAAGGUCCCAAAGUCAUGGUUAAGUGGGAAACGAUGUGGGAAGGCACAGACAGCCAGGAUGUUGGCUUAGAAGCAGCCAUCAUUUAAAGAAAGCGUAAUAGCUCACUGGUCGAGUCGGCCUGCGCGGAAGAUGUAACGGGGCUAAACCAUG
rnacentral:rRNA from 1 species